rnacentral:rRNA from 1 species
UACGGAGGGGACGAGCGUUGUCCGAAGUUACUGGGCGUAAAGCGCGCGUAGGCGGGGGGCUAAGUCCGCUGUGAAAGCCCGGAGCUCAACUCCGGAGGGUCGGUGGAUACUGGUCGUCUUGAAGUGGCUAGGGGGAGAUGGAAUUACCGGUGUAGCGGUGAAAUGCGCAGAUAUCAGGAGGAACACCGGUGGCGAAGGCGGGUCUCUGGGCCGAUACUGACGCUGAGGAGCGAAAGCGUGGGGAGCGAACAGG